rnacentral:rRNA from 1 species
AGCAUGUGGUUUAAUUCGAAGCAACGCGAAGAGCCUUACCAGAUCUUGACAUCCAAUUGACCAUCUUUUAAUCGAGAUUUUGCCUUCGGGUACAAUUGAGACAGGUGGUGCAUGGUUGUCGUCAGCUCGUGUCGUGAGAUGUUGGGUUAAGUCCCGCAACGAGCGCAACCCUUGUGUUUAGUUGCAAACAGGUCAGGCUGUGCACUCUAGACAGACUGCCGUGGACAACACGGAGGAAGGUGGGGAUGACGUCAAAUCAUCAUGCCCCUUAUGAUCUGGGCUACACACGUGCUACAAUGGCCGGUACAACGGGCAGCGAAGGAGCGAUCCGGAGCGAAUCCUAAAAAGCCGGUCCCAGUUCGGAUUGCAGUCUGCAACUCGACUGCAUGAAGCCGGAAUCGCUAGUAAUCGUGGAUCAGCCAAGCCGCGGUGAAUACGUUCCCGGGCCUU